AGAAUCAGGGUUCGAUUCCGGAGAAGGAGCUUGAGAAUUGGCUACUACAUCUAAGGAAGGCAGCAGGUGCGCAGAUUACCCAAUCCCGAUUCGGGGAGGUAGUGACAAAAAAUAACAAUACCGGGCCUUUUUGGGCUUGGUAAUUGGAAUGAGGGAGAGUUAAACGGACCAUCGAGUAUCCAUUGGAGGGCAAGUCUGGUGCCAGCAGCUGCGGUAAUACCAGCUCCAAUAGCGUAUAUUAAAGUUGUUGCAGUUAAAAAGCUCGUAGUUGGACUUGUGUGCGCUGUCCGCGGGUGGCCUGCGCCCAAAAGGGCGUUUCGGUUCGGCCCCGGUGGCGCCUUGAAAUCUGCAGCUGGGGGGACGUUGGCCUUAACUGGUCGGCGACCGCACGCCGGCUGCUCGGUUACUGUGAGAAAAUUAGAGUGUUCAAGGCAGGCAUUGGGUGCAAUUGAAUACAUUAGCAUGGAAUAAUAAAAUAUGGCUCCUGCCGUAUUUUGUUGGUUUUGACUGGUGGGAGUAAUGAUUGAUAGGGACGGUUGGGGGUGCUAGUAUUGAGCGGCCAGAGGUGAAAUUCAUGGAUUCGCUCAAGACUAACUUAUGCGAAAGCAUUCACCAAGGACGUCCUCUUUAAUCAAGAACGAAAGUUGGGGGAUCGAAGACGAUCAGAUACCGUCGUAGUCUCAACCAUAAACUAUGUCGACUUGGGAUCGGCGGUAGUUUUUUCAUUAAGACACUGUCGGGACCACGGGAGAAAUCAAAGUGUCUGGACUCUGGGGGAAGUAUGGUCGCAAGGCUGAAACUUGAAGGAAUUGACGGAAGGGCACCACCAGGAGUGGAGCCUGCGGCUUAAUUUGACCCAACACGGGGAAACUUACCAGGUCCAGAGAUGUAGAGGAUUGACAGAUUGAAGCUCUUUCUUGAUCACUUCGGUGGUGGUGCAUGGCCGUUCUUAGUUGGUGGAGUGAUUUGUCUGGUUAAUUCCGUUAACGAACGAGACCUCAGCCUGCUAGUGUAGUCGGCUGGAUUGCCUUUGGCGAUCCGUGAUUUCGACUUCUUAGAGGGACAAUCGACGCGCAGUCGAUGGAAGUUUGAGGCAAUAACAGGUCUGUGAUGCCCUUAGAUGUUCUGGGCCGCACGCGCGCUACACUGCUGGGCUCAGCGAGUUUUACUUGGCCGAGAGGCCCGGUUAAUCUUGUGAAAUCCCAGCGUGCUUGGGCUCGCCUCCUGCAACUGGAGGCGCCAACGAGGAAUUCCUAGUAGACGCAGGUCAUCAACCUGCAUCGAUUACGUCCCUGCCCUUUGUACACACCGCCCGUCGUUCCAUAAGAGUGAGGCAUCCGGUGAAUUCUCGGGAGAGCCUGGGCGUGGCCAGCAAUGGUCUGCUCGGGUUUGAACUUGCAUAAGCUUGGUGCCUAUGAUUAGGGAAAAGUCGUAACAAGGUU
rnacentral:rRNA from 1 species